AUCACAUCCCUAAUAAUUGCUGGAAAACUAUAUCAUAUCCCUUGGUCAGUGAUUUACCAAUCAUGGACAUCUGCACCUAUCUCUUGGUCAAAAGAUUUUUCAUGUCAUGGACAUGUGAACUUUACUUAAGAGAAAAUUUUCUAUUCAUGAGGGAGCUUUUUCUCGAAUAAUUAAGUUAUGUAUUGAGGAUAAGUAGGUGUAUUACUUCUACAAUAGCUCCCACUUCGCUUUCUAUCAUUUUUUUUAUCCCAUUUAUGAAUGAGCAUUACAGUGGUUGACUUAAAAGUUUUUUAGUGGGGGCAAACUUAAUAACAUAAAUCAUCAUUUUUUUAAUAUACAAAACAUAAGUUCAUUCACACUAAUGUCAAUAAUAAUGGUAAUAAAUCAAAUAAACAUUCUUGAUGUAUAAAAAGAAAAAGAUAAGGAAUUAAUAAAUUCUAA
rnacentral:misc_RNA from 1 species